rnacentral:snRNA from 1 species
AUCGCUUCUCGGCCUUUUGGCUCAGAUCAAGUGUAGUAUCUGUUCUUAUCAGUUUAAUAUCUGACACGUCCUCUCUCCGAGGGUAAUAUGGAAAAAUAUCCUCU